UGUGAGAUGGCUGAGUUGUUAAGCAGAAGAUUGUAGCUCUUUUUACGGAGAGUGUUUCUCCUCUCAUAA
rnacentral:tRNA from 6 species